GGAGAGAUGGCCGAGUCGGCUGAAGGCGCUCGCCUGCUAAGCGAGUAAGGGGCGUAAAACUCCUUCGAGGGUUCGAAUCCCUCUCUCUCCGCCA
rnacentral:tRNA from 1 species